rnacentral:lncRNA from 1 species
GCCCGCCUUGCCCAAAGGAUGUGCCACUCAUCCGACAGUCCCCAGAGUCACAGCUGCUGCUAGAGGGCGAUUCUGUACACUUCCUUGUCGUCAUGUGCCCUGACUUCCUGCCACAAGGGCAGCUGCUACAGAGUAGGAGUGAUAAUCUUCAAGACAGGAGUGACAGGGAGAAGGGCCUCGUGCAAAGACUCAGCCAGGACCAAUAGUGACAACCAUAACGCCCAGCGUUUGACAAGUAAGCCCGCGGUCCUCCCCCUUUCGGAUUAUGGAACCCGCUCUGUUCCCAUGUCACCCUCCACUCCUCCCUCUCUCCUUUUCUGCUGGAUUCCUUCCGUCUGAGCAGGACAGCAUCCUGGAGCUAGACUCCCCAACUCCACCGCUGCUGUGGCCACUCUGGACACCCGCUCCCCUGGACGUUCUGACCAGGACAAGCAGCCUGGGUUUUCUGACAGGGGUACCAGGUCAUUCUGAUCUUCUGGGAAGGUUGUAAAACACUGAGACGCUGUACAAGGACGUCGAAAAUAAUUUGCCCAAGUUUCUCAGCUUGCAGAUAUAAUUUUCUGAGAUUUUUAACACCUUGUCUUAGACAUUGGAUCAUUUACUUCACAGUCACUUUAUUCCAGCCUUAGGAUCACCAUGGGGCUAAGUGGAAACUGGACUCAGAGAAGGUUGGUGACUUGCCCCGGAGGAAAUGGUAACACUGAGAUCACACCCAGGCUUCCUGACCCCAAAGUACUGCCUUGUCCCUUCGUUGUCCUCCAUUUCUUCAUUCCAGGAGUCUUCAUGGGACGGAGGGGACCUACCUGCCAGAUUCUGUCGCUCACCUCCCACCAGCRGGGGAAGCAGGGCCCGUGGCAGAGUCGGUGCAGCAGUGUGGGCUUCACUGAGAAGUGAGGGCAUCUCAUUGCCUGAAUCUGUGCAAGUCAAACUCAAGCUUCUCCAAGGCUGGACUGUUCCAAUCUAGCACCUCUUCUCAAAAAACACCCAGUGUGUCUCUGUUAAAUGGUAAUUUUCAGAAUUUUGGCUCAUGCUCAAAGCUGAAAGGUGGCCACAAAUAGGACCCAGAUCCCGUGGUUCAUCACCCCUUUCCAUCUAGACAAACUCAAGAGACUUGGAGUAAAGUGUUUCUUUGAAGGAAGUUGUCCCACAGCCCAGGACACCUGUGUGACAUCCUGCUUCCCUCUUCACAGUCGGGGGAUGAGGUGUGUUCUUGGUCCAUCUCAGCCCCAGGGGACAGCAGAGUGGAGAGUGACGGCCACCUGAGAGCAAGCUCCAUCUCCUCAGUGGRUGAAGCAAGGGUGCGGGUUUCCCUGUGAGUGGGUGGACUGCUCUACCUGUGGCUAAGCUGGAGUCAUCUUGAAAGGACCCCCUCAGGAGGCCUGUCUGCAGCAGGAAGUCUGGAGGCAUUCCCUCUGAGCAGGAGCCCAGGGCAGUGCUGCUGGURGCCAGCCAAGGAACGCAUCAUCCGUGCCGGGGUGUGCAGUGUCAGAGAUUCCAGGGCUUGAAGGACUCAGAGAAUCGAACAUCUGGACAUCUGCCACGCAGACGGCCUCGGGCCCAGUUACGCCAGCAGCUGUCAAAUGAGAUUUCCCCCAUUCUCCUCCUCCUCACCCAUCCAGAGGCAGGAGGCGGGUGGGGAGGAGGGAGCAGGAGCCGGGAGGCCCAGAGAAAGCACAAAGCUGUGUCUCCCUUGCCCAAGGCAGGAAGCAGAGCCGGCUGCCCUAAGCUGGGGAUUAGAAGACAAACUUAGCAUUGGGUGAGAAGGUGAAGUUUUAAUUUAAAUCAAAUUGAACUUUUUAAUACUCAAAAAAAAUGAGUCUGUUAUGAUACUUAAAAUUACCAGAAAAGCUACUAUUUCUGCUUGAGAUAUUAUCUAGGAAUAGACUAGGGGUUUCCAACAGAGACCAUUUGAAGAGUCAUAGUGAGGGGAAAAUAAACUUCUUUUUGGAUUCCUCUCUACCA